rnacentral:rRNA from 1 species
UCAUGACGAACGCUGGCGGCGUGCUUAACACAUGCAAGUCGAACGGAAAGGCCCUGCUUUUGUGGGGUGCUCGAGUGGCGAACGGGUGAGUAACACGUGAGUAACCUGCCCUUGACUUUGGGAUAACUUCAGGAAACUGGGGCUAAUACCGGAUAGGAGCUCCUGCUGCAUGGUGGGGGUUGGAAAGUUUCGGCGGUUGGGGAUGGACUCGCGGCUUAUCAGCUUGUUGGUGGGGUAGUGGCUUACCAAGGCUUUGACGGGUAGCCGGCCUGAGAGGGUGACCGGCCACAUUGGGACUGAGAUACGGCCCAGACUCCUACGGGAGGCAGCAGUGGGGAAUAUUGCACAAUGGGCGGAAGCCUGAUGCAGCAACGCCGCGUGCGGGAUGACGGCCUUCGGGUUGUAAACCGCUUUCGCCUGUGACGAAGCGUGAGUGACGGUAAUGGGUAAAGAAGCACCGGCUAACUACGUGCCAGCAGCCGCGGUGAUACGUAGGGUGCGAGCGUUGUCCGGAUUUAUUGGGCGUAAAGGGCUCGUAGGUGGUUGAUCGCGUCGGAAGUGUAAUCUUGGGGCUUAACCCUGAGCGUGCUUUCGAUACGGGUUGACUUGAGGAAGGUAGGGGAGAAUGGAAUUCCUGGUGGAGCGGUGGAAUGCGCAGAUAUCAGGAGGAACACCAGUGGCGAAGGCGGUUCUCUGGGCCUUUCCUGACGCUGAGGAGCGAAAGCGUGGGGAGCGAACAGGCUUAGAUACCCUGGUAGUCCACGCUGUAAACGGUGGAUACUAGGUGUGGGGUCCAUUCCACGGGUUCCGUGCCGUAGCUAACGCUUUAAGUACCCCGCCUGGGGAGUACGGCCGCAAGGCUAAAACUCAAAGGAAUUGACGGGGCCCCGCACAAGCGGCGGAGCAUGCGGAUUAAUUCGAUGCAACGCGUAGAACCUUACCUGGGUUUGACAUGGAUCGGGAGUGCUCAGAGAUGGGUGUGCCUCUUUUGGGGUCGGUUCACAGGUGGUGCAUGGCUGUCGUCAGCUCGUGUCGUGAGAUGUUGGGUUAAGUCCCGCAACGAGCGCAACCCUUGUUCACUGUUGCCAGCACGUUAUGGUGGGGACUCAGUGGAGACCGCCGGGGUCAACUCGGAGGAAGGUGGGGAUGACGUCAAGUCAUCAUGCCCCUUAUGUCCAGGGCUUCACGCAUGCUACAAUGGCUGGUACAGAGAGUGGCGAGCCUGUGAGGGUGAGCGAAUCUCGGAAAGCCGGUCUCAGUUCGGAUUGGGGUCUGCAACUCGACCUCAUGAAGUCGGAGUCGCUAGUAAUCGCAGAUCAGCAACGCUGCGGUGAAUACGUUCCCGGGGCUUGUACACACCGCCCGUCAAGUCAUGAAAGUUGGUAACACCCGAAGCCGGUGGCCUAACCGUUGUGGGGGAGCCGUCGAAGGUGGGACUGGUGA